GAUAUAUCAGGGUGAAAUGCUUAGUGGUAUUUCAUCUGCCGCUACAUUCUGAGUUCAAAUUCCGCCGAGGUCGACUUUGCCUUUCAUCCUUUCGGGGUCGAUAAAUUAAGUACCAGUUACGCACUGGGGUUGAUGUCAUCAACUUAACCCUCCACAGAAUUGCUGGCCACGUGCCAGAAUUUGGAA